CCUGUUAGCUGCUGCUCUGGAGCCUGGGGGCUUGACCAGGCUGUCCCCCGACUCGAGACACCGGGUUGCCUGUCCACGCCUCCACUCCCGGGCCACUUCCCCGCGGAGCAGGCAGUAGGGCAGUGAGGGAUGGGAAUCUUGUAACCAGAGAAGGGAACUGCCCCCAGGCCGAGAGAGUUUGGAGCCUGGGGUACUGUCACCAACAGACCAGGACUCCCGCAGCUGGGCCCUCCCCUAGAGUGUUCCUGCAGCAGGGCUCUCCUCCCAAGGGGCUGUGAAUGUUUCCCCAGGGUGGGGCUGAAGCCAGAACCCAGAGGUUUGCCCCUGGGGCACGGAUUCCCCAGGUCAUUCGCCUCCCACGGGCUGCAGUGAAGGAGGCUCUGAGGGGAGGAUGGCCAGCUUUUCCCCUGCAAGGAUAUGAGCCCCAGGGAAGGCAUUUCUGCUCUGGGGACUGCCUCCCUCCCCUACAUCAGAGCCAGCCCUCAAAAGCUUGGCCAACCUGACCACUCUGUCUGUGAUCUCUGCCAGAGAGGCUGAAAGAACAUCCAGCCCCACCUGUGGCCCCUUCCCACCUCAGGCUAUAUGACAGUAUGACACCCCACCUAUUUUUUUUCAUUUCCACUGGAAACACUAGUAAAACAAUUUUUCACCCUCUACCCCAGGGAGCGACCCCCACUAAACCAGCUGACUUGUGACCCCUGGGUCAAUUUUGGCCAGAAGAUGCUGCUGACACCAUACAGAGAGCCUGGGCACCUGGGCCCCCUACAAGCCUGGUCAUGGUGCCCAUGGGAUUUCAGGCCCCAUGCAUUUCCGAAUCAGUAUUUCCCCCACAAAAAAAUACGCAUGUAAUUAUCCCAUGGCCACGUACCUAAUCCUGGGGUACAGGAAAAGUGCAGAGGAAGAAGGGCUCCAUCACUGGAGCACAGUCCCUUCCUCCUGGGGGUCCCACCUGUUCUUCCCCAUCUGACAAAGUCCACCUUCCCCAUGGAACCAAAGAGGGCUCAAAGGGAGCCAGCUGUUCACACUUUUUAAUUUUCAGCUGCCUGACGAGGGCCAGAAGUCAGGGCAGAAGACCACCAUUCCUGCCCCAGAACUCUUCCUGGGCCUGGGAGUGCCAGUGCCCCACCAUGGACAUAUGGAGCUUCCAUGUCAUUCUCUAUUCCAUGGUGGCUGGACCCUGCCCUUCUACUCAGGGAGCCCUACAGACCUCAAUAAUAAAACUAUCACAAGAAAAUACCAUGUCCCACCAUUUUUUCCCUUCAACUUGAAAGACUGAUUAAAAAGUUAUUAACACUAGACCCCAGGGAGCAGCCCCCCACUGGAACAACUGAUGAGGGACCCAUGGGAGAACAGUGGUCGGGAGAUGCCAGUGAUACCAUAUGAAGUGCCACUCCUGGACCACCCAAGCCACAAACAACUCAGCUCAUGAUGGUCAUGGGAUUCCGGGCUGAGAACAUCUCCGUGUCAAUAGUAGAAAGAAAAUUCAACUAUCCCAUGGCCCCAUACCUCAUUUUAGAGCAUCCAAAACAAAAGAGGAAGCACUCUACCCUCAGAGAACUGUCCCUUCCUCCUGGGGUUCCCACCUGUCUUUCCCUAUCCACCGAAGUUUCCACCUUCCUGCUCCCACUGAAAUGGACUCACAGCAAGCCAGCUUGUCACACUUUUAAAAUUCAGCUGCCCAAGGACAGCCAGAAGUCAGGGCAGAAGACCACCAUUCCUGCCAGUGCACCUGCUGGCCUGCAGAGGAAGCCAGACAGUUUUAGUGACGCCCCCAGCAUGACCCUGUGGCCUCCCCCUCCACUCAGAGCACCAGAAGCAGUGACAGAGACCCAGAAACGUCCCUGGCCCAGCGAGAACCAUCGCAGAAAGCCAGCUUCCUCCAAGCUGGGCAGCCAGAGGCUGUGACGUCAGCCUCACCAAGAAACCAGGGCUGCCGCAGGGCUGCCAGAAGAUGACUUUCAUUUCUGCUAAGAUUCGGUCACUUGAGCCCAGCGCAGAACAUUCCAACCAAUAAAAUCACCCCAAAGAAGUAGUUGGACGGCAGUAGUGAAGACAAAAACCAAAUUGGAGAGGACGAAGGCCCUGAGGUCCAAGAACAUUGAAACCUGACAGUGGAUGCCAACAGCUGUGGGGAGGAGCCUGGUGAGACGCCCAUGCUGCCACGUGCCCAGCAACGUUGGAGCCUGCAGCGCUUUUCCCCUGCCCUGCUCUAUUUUAUCUUUUUUAAUAAAGAUGGCUCCUGAUAAA